ACGGCCACACCAUGCUGAAUAUACCGGUUCUCGUUAGAUCACCGAAGUCAAGCAUCACAGGGCGCAGUCAGUGCCAGGUGGGUGACCACCCGGGAAGUCAAAG
rnacentral:rRNA from 1 species